GAUGAAGAACGUAGCGAAACGCGAUAAGUAAUGUGAAUUGCAGAAUUUAGUGAAUCAUCGAAUCUUUGAACGCACAUUGCGCCCUUUGGUAUUCCUUAGGGCAUGCCUGUUCGAGCGUCAUUUAAACCUUCAAGCUAAGCUUGGUGUUGGGUGACUGUCCGCCUCACGGCGGACUCGCCUCAAAAUUAUUGGCGGCCGGUACAUUGGCUUCGAGCGCAGCAGAAACGCGAACUCGGGCCCGUCGUAUUGGCUCCCAGAAGCUAUCUUCACAAUUUUGACCUCGGAUCAGGUAGGGAUACCCGCUGAACUUAAGCAUAUCAAUAAGCGGAGGA
rnacentral:misc_RNA from 1 species